CUCCUACGGGGGGCAGGCAGUAAGGAAUAUUGGUCAAUGGGCGGAAGCCUGAACCAGCCAUGCCGCGUGCAGGAAGACGGCCCUACGGGUUGUAAACUGCUUUUGCAGGGGAAUAAACCUCGGUAUGUAUACCGGGCUGAAUGUACUCUGAGAAUAAGGAUCGGCUAACUCCGUGCCAGCAGCCGCGGUAAUAC
rnacentral:rRNA from 1 species